rnacentral:misc_RNA from 1 species
GAUGAAGAACGUAGCGAAAUGCGAUAAGUAGUGUGAAUUGCAGAAUUCAGUGAAUCAUCGAAUCUUUUAACGCACAUUGCGCCCCUUGGUAUCCCGAGGGGCAUGCCUGUUCGAGCGUCAUUUCACCACUCAAGCCUGGCUUGGUGUUGGGCGACGUCCUCUUUGGGGACGCGCCUCGAAACGCUCGGCGGCGUGGCACCGGCUUUAAGCGUAGCAGAAUCUUUCGCUUUGGAAGUCGGGGCCCCGUCUGCCGGAAGACCUGCUCGCAAGGUUGACCUCGGAUCAGGCAGGGAUACCCGCUGAACUUAAGCAUAUCAAUAAGCGGAGGA